rnacentral:rRNA from 1 species
AACGAACGCUGGCGGCAGGCCUAACACAUGCAAGUCGAGCGCCCAGCAAUGGGAGCGGCAGACGGGUGAGUAACACGUGGGAACCUUCCCUAUAGUACGGAAUAGCCCAGGGAAACUUGGAGUAAUACCGCAUACGCCCGAGAGGGGAAAGAUUUAUCGCUAUAGGAUGGGCCCGCGUAGGAUUAGCUAGUUGGUGAGGUAAUGGCUCACCAAGGCGACGAUCCUUAGCUGGUCUGAGAGGACGACCAGCCACACUGGGACUGAGACACGGCCCAGACUCCUACGGGAGGCAGCAGUGGGGAAUAUUGGACAAUGGGCGCAAGCCUGAUCCAGCCAUGCCGCGUGAGUGAUGAAGGCCUUAGGGUUGUAAAGCUCUUUUGCCGGGGACGAUAAUGACGGUAACCCCGGAGGAAAUAAAGUUCCCGGCUAACUUCGUGCCAGCAGCCGCGGUAAU